AUCAACAAAUUAAAUAGAUCUAGAGAAUAUCAGUGAAAAUUU
rnacentral:guide_RNA from 1 species